ensembl:lncRNA
ACCUGAACGCUCAUGGAAAACAGCAGUUUUACAACAUGGAUCAGUCAAAAGACAAUGGUGAGUAAAUGUUUUUGAUUAAAUACAACAAACUUCAUUGAUUACACAUCAUUAUUAUUACAUUAGAUUUAUUAUUAUGAGCACCAAAUACAUUUGCAGUGGAAGCCUUCACGGAUGAGCUCAGGACCCAGUUAAGGACCAGACUGAGCCCAACUGGAACCAUCAUGCAAACCUGGAUGUCACUGACACCACACCAACAAAUCCAGGUGCUCUUGCAGCUUAUGGAGCAAAGGAUGCCUCAAACCAAAGACAGCUUUGUCCAGACACAACAGGAAUCCAAGCUUGGAGCCAAGUUAGAUGAUCCGGAGCAGUCCAGAACAGAAGAGAAGACACAAAUGAAAUGGAUCAAAUUUCAAGCAAAGAAAAGAAAGUGGGACCUUGACCUGAGGCUGGAAAAGAUCAUCAAAGAGAGAGAUGAACUAGAAAUAAUGAAGAUAAAACUAAAUCAACAAAAACAAGAAGUGGAAAAUAAUUAUAAAUACUGUUUGACUACAAUUACAACUGUGGUUGCUAUAAAAGCUACAAUGGAAAAAUCUAGAGCACAAAUUAGGACCACCAUUGAGAAAAUGCUUGAAACCCAAAGACAGAUGACAGAAGAAAAAGAAGAAGUUAAAAACUGCAUGGACAAACUGGCAUCCAUGAAGAACCAGGUCAACAAAUGGAGACUGACACCUUCUACAAUAUCAAAUACUUUGACAACAAACACACUUGAAGAACUUCAGAAGGAAAUGCCUGCAGGCUCCCAGAAAGCUACAAGAUCAGCAACCCUGCAUGGUACAGAUAAUGCAGAAAGUAUAAUUAAAGACAGCACAUUUCUACACAGCUUAACGGCAUUAGAAAACAAAAAUCAGACAGAAGAAAUCACAGAAAUUAAUUAUUUAGAAAAUUAUCAGGCAAAAUCACUGAAACUCAUAGAACAAAAUGCAGUGGAAAAGCAGGUCUAUGCACUAAAAGGGCAGAAAAAAGAGAUUAAGGUACAAAUUAAGCAGACUUGUAAAUAUGUUAAAGAAAAAAGUCAGGAGAUCACCCGUCUCAUCUCUGAAAUAGAAGAACUGCAGAGUCAGCAUCCAGACAGUGAUGUUUCUCUCAGAAAAAUGGGAACUAUAGAAGGGAAAGGCACCAUAAUGUCAGAAUCCAGAGAUGUUUUGCUGCAGAGUACAAAUGUUUUCAUCCAGACUAUGCUGCAUCAUAAACAAGAAGAUAAGGAGAAGGGUUCUGAUGUUAAAGGAAAGUCUGACAGUUUUGGAAAGGACGUUGUGAAACAAAAGCAAAAAAAUUGGGCAGAAAGUACUCAAAAUACAUCUGCUGACAAGACAUAUUCCAGUUCAGACAACACUGAGUUAGAAAGCCUGAAAACAGAAAUCAAUAAAACACAAGAAAUCAUAAGAAUGUUAAAAUUUGAGUUUGGGUACGAAGACAAGAACUCCCCAAUCAGUAAAGAUCCAAAGAAUGGAGAAAAUGAAAUUACACAACUGUUGCAAGACAUGAAACAGCUUCAAGAACUUUUACAAGAAAUAAAAACAUCCACGCAGCUAAAUAAAAUUAAUCUUAAACAAGAAACAAGCACAAUAAAAAAGGCUAUGAACAGAAGACAAAAGGAACUAGAUCAAAGAUUAGAGAAAACUCAAAGAGAAAGAGAUGAAUUAGAAUUAUUGAAGAUAAAAAUGCAGAGAAAAUAUUUGGAUGCUCAGCAGAUCUUUGAGAAAAUGACAAAAUGUAAGCGUGUCAUAGAAGGAAUAGCUGCUCAAACAGAAAAGAACAAGGAGGAAAUGUUGCAUCACAUUAAGGAGACUGAAGUUAAGUUAAAAUGGCUAGAAGACGUAAAGGGUCAAUUUGAUGCUUCAAAAUAUCACCUGAAAAAUAUGUGUCCCUCAAAGUCGCUCAAGUCAAAGCUAGAAAAAUGUAGGAAGAGCAUCGAGCAAAAAAUAGAUGAAGAAUCAAAAUAUGAACAAGAGAGACAAGAUCACCAAUUUGGUCAACCUGACAAAGAUACAGGAAAAAGAAACCUAACAAAAAAGAGAAAAGGAAAAGCAAUGGAUGGAACAAUUAAUGAAACCCUUAUACACCCAAAACGAAAGAAGAAAACUGGGAAAAGUAAAAGAAUGACAAGAGAAGACCUUGAUCAGAAAGGCAGCAAAGCUGAGCAGCAAAUCAUUGAUAUGAAUGAAAAACUAGUACAGCUAAAGAUAAAAAAAAUUACAGAGGUGGAUGGCGAAUACAUAAACGACUCAACACUGUCAGAGCAAAAAAGUGAAUCAGAUUUACAUAGAAUAGAGCAGAUAAAGCUUCUUGACAAAAAGAAACAAGAGCUUGAUGACACAUAUCAAAAAACCAAAAAAGAAAUAAGAGAAAUGGAGUUAUUAAACUCAGAGCUGACAUUUAAGAAAAAAGAAAAUAAAGAUUAUAUGAGAAAAAUCAUGAGAAAAAUUGAUGAAAAUGAAAAAAUAUUGAAUGAAACUAAAGAACGAGGAAUUUUGAUUAGAAGAGAGACAAAAAAGAAAGAAAAAGAACUAGAUGCUAAAUUAGAAAUCAUCAGAAGGGAGAGGGAUUCUUUAGAAAUAUUGUUGUUACAACUGGAAAGACUAAAAACAAAGCAUGUUGUAGGAAACCAAAAUGUAUCACCAUACUAUUCAGGGGACAUAAAAAUUAAAGACACAAAUAAAUUCAAUGCUAAAGAAAAAGUGUCUGUUGAAAAAAUAACUGAGCAGGAUGUGAGAUCUAUACAGGUGAAACCAAAUGAAAAACAAGAUAAUAACCAAAAUGUUAAAGUUAUUAGACACAAAGAUGAAAUGUCACUGGAGAUCACAAAGGCGGAACUGAACUCACAAAAGAAAGAAAGACUGAAAAAAGACAGAAAUCAUCUGGAUUUGACAACUGACGAAUUGGCUAAAGAUAAAAUGGAAUUGGAAUGCCUUAAGUCUGAAAUCCAGAAGGAAACUGCAAUGUUACAACAAAAAAGACAUCUCAUUAAAGAUGAACAAGACAAGUUGGAGAUAACAAAGGCUGAACUGAACAAAGAAAGAGAAGAUGUAAACACUGCCUUGAACCAACUUCACAGGGAGAAAACCAAAUUUCUAAAUAUAUCACUGAAAGUCAAACAGCAAAGUCAAAGGCUUCAGGACUCUUUGAAAUCGAUUAAUGUAAAAUACCAAGAAAGACAAAGGAAAGAUCAAGACAUCCAAACACUACAAAAAGAGUUGCAAAAGACACAAAAACAAUUACAGGAGGACACAGAAAAUUUGGACAGUUUAAGGAAGACCAUUACACUGGUAAAAGACAAAGUUCAACUUGCCAUGACAAACAUUGGCAAAGACAAAGAACAGGUUGCCAAACUCAAGGUGGAAGUUGAAAAAGACAAAUAUCUGAUAUCCAAUGAGAGGAGUACACUGAAAGAAGAAUGGUCCAAGUUGGAAACGACAAAGGAUGAACUGUUGAAGAAAACACAUUCAGCUGAGAAUCUACGGGCAGCACUUCAAGUCCUUAGAGACAAAACAUCUGAGAACAUACAAGACAAACUCAAUGCAUUACAAAAAUGCCAGCAAGCUGUCAACAGAAUGGACACCCUGUUAGAGCAAAAGACCAUUUCUUUUGACAAACAAAAGGAAAAAAUGGAUGACUAUAAGAAAGUGUUUGAGAGGCAAAGGGAAAUUUUGAAAGCUGUCCUUUCUGAAACCAUCAAGAAGAGACUAAGUUUGGACAAUAACUGGAAGCAAAUGGCUGGAACGGUGACGGAUCAAAUAAAUCAAAUGAAAGAAAGACUAAAUAAAUUCAAACAACAUUUUUCCAGACUCAAGGUGCACAAUGAAAAGGAUCUGCUAAGUAUUCAUUUUAAUGACACAGAGAAGCCACAAAAAUCUCCUUUGCAUAAAGUACUAGUGGAAAUACCAAAUCCAUUUUUGAUAACAAAAUGUGAAAAGGCUAUCCAAACUGAUUUUGUGUUUAAUCAAGCUUUCACAAAACAAGAAUUGAAACAGUCUAAAACAUCUAAAGAUUUUCUAACAUCAUCUGCCACUUUUAAAUCUUUUGAAAGUGAACAUCCCCCAAUGUUUGACAACGCUAGCCAUGAUAAAACGCUAGAUAGUAUUGGUGCAAAACGUGAGAGGAAUAUUUCACUGCCAGAAAAUAAAAAUGAAGAGCUAUACAAGAUGGAACAUGCAACCCUUACCACAAUUUCUACUGAAAAAGAUGAUUUCAUCAAUCAGGGAAAUAGAGAACGCUUGCGAAAGAUUUGGAAGGACACCAGAGCUGACCGUAGGGAGAUAGAUGUAUUGAAGCACAGGGGUCAGAAAAUUAGAAGCAAUUUGGAGAAAAGAUUAAAAGUGAUCAGUCAUUUUGUAGAGAGAACAUUAUCAUUUAAUGAAAAAACAUCAACAAAAUCUACGUCAGAAUAUUGGUACACAGUAAAUCAAAGUGACUGGAACAGGGAUAACAAAUCGCUAGAUAAGAGAUACUUUGAUAUCCCGCAACUCAUGUCGUUUACUGAGAGUGAGAAACAUUUUCUUAAAGAAAAAGAGUCUAAGGAACCUAGGACUGGCAACAAAGCAAAUCAGACAGCAGGGUUAGGUACCAUCCCAGAGCAAGCAAAGCAAGAAAGUUUCACCAGAAUCCGUGAAGGGUUGAGUAGGAUGAGGGUACAGGAAGAUGAAUUUAUCCCAGAGACACCGAGUGGAUUUUUCUGUCAACUACAGCAUUAUUGCUGUCGCUGUUGCUGCCCUUGUUGUUCCUGCCAUAAGCAAGGGUGCCCAAAGAAAAACUGA